rnacentral:rRNA from 1 species
UACGUAGGUGGCAAGCGUUGUCCGGAUUUACUGGGCGUAAAGAGCGCGCAGGCGGUCGUUCAAGUCGCGUGUGAAAGCCCCCGGCUCAACUGGGGAGGGUCACGCGAUACUGAUCGACUCGAAGGCAGGAGAGGGUAGUGGAAUUCCUAGUGUAGAGGUGAAAUUCGUAGAUAUUAGGAAGAACACCAGUGGCGAAGGCGGCUCACUGGCCCGGUACUGACGCUGAGGCGCGAAAGCGUGGGGAGCAAACAGG